rnacentral:rRNA from 2 species
GAUGAACGCUGGCGGCGUGCCUAACACAUGCAAGUCGAGCGGAGAUACAUUGAAGGUUACCUGAUUUGUAUCUUAGCGGCGGACGGGUGAGUAACGCGUGAGAAACCUGCCUUAUAGAGGGGGAUAACACAUCGAAAGAUGUGCUAAUACCGCAUAAUAACACUGUACCGCAUGGUAUGAUGUUCAAAGGAGUAAUCCACUAUAGGAUGGUCUCGCGUCUGAUUAGCUAGUUGGUGAGGUAAUGGCUCACCAAGGCGACGAUCAGUAGCCGAACUGAGAGGUUGAUCGGCCACAUUGGGACUGAGACACGGCCCAGACUCCUACGGGAGGCAGCAGUGGGGAAUAUUGCGCAAUGGGGGAAACCCUGACGCAGCAACGCCGCGUGAAGGAAGAAGGUCUUCGGAUCGUAAACUUUUGUCUUUGGGGACGAAAAAAAUGAC